AGCGAACGCUGGCGGCAGGCCUAACACAUGCAAGUCGAACGAACUCUUCGGAGUUAGUGGCGGACGGGUGAGUAACACGGGGGAACGUGCCUGUUGGUUCGGAAUAACUCAGGGAAACUUGUGCUAAUACCGAAUGUGCCCUUCGGGGGAAAGAUUUAUCGCCAUUAGAGCGGCCCUCGUCUGAUUAGCUAGUUGGUGAGGUAACGGCUCACCAAGGCGACGAUCAGUAGCUGGUCGGGGAGGAUGACCAGCCACACUGGGACUGAGACACGGCCCAGACUCCUACGGGAGGCAGCAGUGGGGAAUCUUGCGCAAUGGGCGAAAGUCUGACGCAGCCAUGCCGCGUGAAUGAUGAAGGUCUUAGGAUUGUAAAAUUCUUUCACCGGGGACGAUAAUGACGGUACCCGGAGAAGAAGCCCCGGCUAACUUCGUG
rnacentral:rRNA from 1 species